AUGCAAAGGUGUGGACAUUGUCUAAGUAAUUCCUUGAAUUUUUCCCAAGCAUCAAAUAAAGAUUCAUCAUCCCCUGCCUAAAUGAAGUAAUUUUGUUUCUCAUCUU